UCCCAAGUGGCUCAGUGGUAAAGAAUCUGUCUGACAAUGCAGGAGACUCAGCUUUGAUUCCUGGCUUGGGAA
rnacentral:tRNA from 1 species